rnacentral:rRNA from 1 species
UACGUAGGGUGCAAGCGUUAAUCGGAAUUACUGGGCGUAAAGCGUGCGCAGGCGGUUUUGUAAGUUUGUCGUGAAAUCCCCGGGCUCAACCUGGGAAUGGCGAUGGAUACUGGGCAGCUAGAGUGUGUCAGAGGAUGGUGGAAUUCCCGGUGUAGCGGUGAAAUGCGUAGAGAUCGGGAGGAACACCAGUGGCGAAGGCGGCCUUCUGGACCAAUACUGACGCUCAUGCACGAAAGCGUGGGGAGCAAACAGG